UUUCUCAUGCCAACAAAUCAAUAAAAUUAAUAUUAUUUUAGAAAGUACAAUAUUUUUCUUUUACAUUUGUAUACACAAAGUGAAAUCUUAAUUAAGAUAUUGUGUUUGUAUAUACAUUCUACAAUAAUACAUGAAACAAGAUCCUAAUACAAGACUAGUUAUAUAAGAGUGAAAAGUACUUAAAUAAGAAAUCCUAAAAGCCUUCAUAGUCUUCAACUUUCAUCCAUCGUUUCCAUCUACACAAUCGCUUAAGGGUAUACUUAUAUUUCUCACCUUUCAUAAGAGUGAAAGAUACUGUACGACCUACCUUUGCUUCAAUGCCAGAUAAUUUAUUUAUUUUUAUGUGUGGAAAGACGCAACUUUUGAACCAAGCCCACGAAUUGACCCAUCAACACUUCCAAAGUUUGUUGGAACAACAGGUGAUAAGGCUCCAGCAGAACUGAUAAGAUUUUCAAAUAGAAAGUCAGUUAAAUUCUAGUAGUACAUCAAACCAAGCUUUAGUUCAUAACUAAAAGAUAGUAGAUCACAGCAAAAAUCAAACCUAACAAAUGAAAAGAUGAUCAAGAACAAAGCAAUCAAGGAACACUAUAGAACUCAAUAGCUUCAAAGGAACACUAUAUAACUCAAUAGCUUCCAAGGAACACUACAUAACUCAAUCAAGACACACUACAAAACUUAUAACUGAUAUGUUCUAUUACUAAUAGAUUCCAAGGGCUAGAUCUAAUUCUUAUCAAUAUAACAUGAUUUUUUUUUUUAAAAUAGUGUGUGAUCUAUGCUCAAGAGUCUAAAAAUUAAACCCACAAUUAUUAUUAGUUUUGAGUACAUUCACGAUAAUUGAACAAUUGUUAACUAAAUCUUCCAAACAAAUAAUGUGGGUUCAGUUAGCCAUUCAAAUUUCAUCAGACUAUAUUAGAAAAAAAAAAUUAUGCUUUAGACUAAGAAAAAUAACUAUUGUAAAAGAACACGAAAAACCUUGAAAAUCCUAUGAGUGCAACAUGCUUGUGGCCAUAUUUCGUAACGUUAUAUAUGCAAAAGAAAUAUAUUUGUAUAUAUAUAAUGAAAAUUUAUGAACCUACACAUGCGCACAUCUAAUGAUAAUUACUUACUCUGCAUUUUUCAUUUUGGCAAAUCCAUCUCCAAGAAUGUUGUAAGUUACCAAGCUCAUUUCUAUGCCUUCUUUCAUUUUUCUAACACAAGAUAGUAUGAAUAAGGCUGCACAUCAUUAAAGCUUACUCUUAUCGCAAGGCGACACUGUUGAAAAAACAUUUAGAUUUAAUUAAUAUAGUAAAUAUACUUUGGCAAUGACAUAUCUACCAUCAGAGUAUAUAUUUCAAGCAUAAAAUACAUAAUUGACCUUCUAUACAAAUAAAUCAAACUUUAAUCAUAUCCAAAACUGGAAUGGUGACCUUUGUAUUGCAUCAAACCUUAUAGAACACAAGCUCGACUAGCAACUUCUCAAUUUGGCUUCGCAUUUUCUGUAUUUGAGCUCCUAAAGGAUCUCAUUUGAUCUAAAAACAAAAAAUAUUAAUAGUAAUGAAGAAAGCAGUCAAUAGUCUCCCUAAUAACUCCUAUAAACACACAAAAAAAAAAAAAACAUUGUUCUCCGUAAAUUCUUUUGUAGACUGACAAUGAAAAAGUUCAAACAAAGUGCCGUGAAAGUCAAGGGAUAUCUCAAAUGACUAUGAGCAAAUUUAUCAACAUAUAAAUAAGAAUAGAAAUUAACCAGAUUUUAAGAACAUCUGUUGCUCAUUCCCCUUGUCUUACAUGACCAGAUCAUAAUGCAAGACUUGAUAAGUAUACCCACUUGCUCUCCACAUAAUGCUUUUGAGAUAUUUCCAACCGCGAGAAGAUUAAAGAGGACAACUAUAAAAAUAAAUUUUGGUAGGAUUUCAUUAUGAUUUUUCAACAACAAUGCAAUAAAGUGAAAAAAGAAACUGAAAUCCUAAGAACCUGAGGACCAUUUAAACAUUAUAUAAUUUUAGAUUCUAGCAUCUACUCUACCUCAUGGAUGAAAGCACAUCAAAACUUAUAUUUUUAGUGCUAUAACAUUUUUUUCAGUUCAACAAAACAUCAAAAUGAAGGUGGGAAAUUCAAUCUUCUAAUUUCUUGUCUGUAUCUUUACUAGGUAAAGUAUACUCAGGUUCGCUAGUAUUAUGAUGUUAAACCAUAAUAUUAAAAUGAUGUAAUUUUUGAAGAAUAAACUUGAAAACGUACCAAGAAGGUUGUUCUCUUCCCAUAAAGUUAAUAUGCAGUAAUGUCCAUGCUAGUGGCACCUCCUGAUACCAAUUCCCUGAAAGACCAAUAAAAUGGUGAAAUUAAGUGAAAAUUUUAAUAUACAAUAAUGCAAAACAAACAAACAAAAUUGUUUAAUAAUAUGC
rnacentral:lncRNA from 1 species